CAGACUGUGCUUUCAGGCUCACUCCUAGUUUGUUACUGGAGAAGUUUCUCUGACCGUGUAGAGCACCCGAAACCGUGAGGAGGCGCAGCGUUCUCUCCUGAGCGUGAAGCCGCCUCUUGGCUUGCUUCUGCAGCUGCCAGUAGCCACUGAUGAUCGUUCUCUUCCUGAUGGAAGAGUCAGAGGGAGAGAAUGCUUUCUGAGUGGC
rnacentral:snoRNA from 1 species